CAUAACCAGAACUACAGAAAGAACCAGAGGGAGCCAAGGUCCCACGGAGCAUGGCAAGACGAAUAAGGGGCCUAAUGUCCCAGCACUGUCGGGCAUGCAGCCUCCCAGUGAACCUUCUCUCCUGAUCAGAUAAGAAAACAGGAAAGUAGGGCAGGUGGCCUGGCAGCCUGGAGACAUGAACAGGAAAGGUCAAAGGGAAGGCGGCAGAGAGAUGAGCUCGAGAAGGAAGAGCACAAAGAGGCAUCUCUGCGUGACACUUCAUGUCAGCACCGCCAUGACCCAAGCUCGGUGUCGCCUUCCACCUCUGCCACCCUCUCACUCCCCAGACUCCAGCAGACUGAUCUCAUUCCUGGGCCUUCACGGUGUGCCACCGUGGAUGCCUUGGGUGCCUGCCGAGCCACAGGACAAUCACCUCUCUCAGGAAAUUUAACGCAGGAGUAAGCAGAAACCAACACUGGAAAACAAGAAAUAAACGACUCAUUCUUUUAUGGCCAUUAGUCAAUCAUCUGAGGCCAAGACCAGAGUCCCUCUUCCCUCUUUGCAUUUUGAUGUGACAGCUCACCAGCUUCACAAGGCAUCCUUUCUUGAAAACUGGCCACCAUCUCUGGACUGGUUUUGCCUGACAUGUGGAGGAUGCACAGUGAGGGUUUUGGUGACUCUACUUCAGCUUUUGCCAUCAGAGGGCUUAAAAUCCACCUUUGGAUAAUGCUAAUAGCAUCACUUUUUGAAGAUGCAACCCAUGAAGAGGCAUGAAGCUCAACUGUGCAUGCAUACAUUUUUCUUUCAUGAAUCUUCAUGACUCCUCCUAUAGCUUAUUAAAUAUAUAUACUUAGCCAACCCAUUCAGCACAGAUUCCUGUCUUAUGCUUCUCCCCUCAAAGUGCCUCUUUCCAGCUUCCAUCAGAAUUCCCAGCCUGUCAGAAUGGCCACCCUGUAGGCUGCAACCCUUUAGAGAAACAAAGCUCUCCUUUUCAAAUUCAUAAACCAGACUGAAUCUCUAGUUGACACCAAGAUAACACAGGACCACCUGCUGCAUUUAGCCAUCAUGCUUCGUAGGUCUCCUUUGUUGGGGAACAGUUUUCCAGCAUUUUCCCCUGUUUCUCAUGAUAUUGGAUUUAUGGAUUUAUCUAAUUUCUCCUCUGAUUACAUUCAAAGUAUGCAUUCUGGGCAAGAAUACCAUAUACAGGUGCUGGCAUCCCCUCUGUGCACAUCGUUUCAGGAAGUAUGUGAUGCCAAUUUGUCUCAGUGUUGGUGGUGAGCAUUUGGUAAGAAAGGUGUUUAUCAAAUUUUCUGAUUAGAAGGAUGUCUUUUCCCCUUGUAACUAAUAAGUAAUCUCUGCAAUGGUUCACGCCAAACACUCUCACUCAGUGGUUGUAGGAUUCACUGAUGAUCUUUGCCUGAAAUAGUUAUGACCGUGGUAGUGGUGAGAAGAUACAACUAGAAGAUGGCAUAAUUUUCUAGUUAGGCCACUUCUUUCACAUUUUUGAGAUGGCACUUUCCUGUAAAGAGGAGCCUCCCUUCUGUCCAGGCUCCUUUCCCAGCAUCAGCUGUACUCGCUCAAUGUGUCAUAACCCAUCUUUGCCAUGGCCCACAUUGAUGAUGCACAAAUGGUCCAAACUUGCUCCCUUCAAGCUACCUUCUGGGCUCUUAUCUCUACUUUUUGAUGUGACUGUAACCAUUUUCAAGUGAUUUUAAUGGAUAUUUUUGUUUCAUCUCCAUCCUAGUAUAAUAAAGAAUGAAAUAAAAUUUGUUUUCCUUCAAAAACUCCUAAAAUAAAAG
rnacentral:lncRNA from 10 species